UGUAAGCGUAUACCAAAGUUGUUGCAGUUAAAACGCUCGUAGUCGGAAUUUGGCAGUUCCGGAUGUGCGCACGUCGUGUGCGCACUUCGCGGGGAUUGCUUUUGUGGUCUUGCGUAGGAUGAGGCACUUUUAUUAGUGAACGUCCUCACGCAACCACUUUUUACUGUGAGAAAAUCAGAGUGCUCAAAGCAGGCAUUUGCCGUGAAUGUAUUAGCAUGGAAUAAUAGAAUUGGACUUGGUUCUAUUUUGUUGGUUUGUUGGGACUGAGUAAUGAUUAAGAGGGACAGUUGGGGGCAUUUGUAUUUCGGUGCUAGAGGUGAAAUUCUUAGAUUACCGAAAGACAAACUGCUGCGAAAGCGUCUGCCAAGGAUGUUUUCAUUGA
rnacentral:rRNA from 1 species